GUCCCUGUAGGGCAAUGGAUAGCCAGUUGGACUUCUAAUCCAAAGCUCGUGAGUUCGAAUCCCACCUGGGAUG